rnacentral:lncRNA from 1 species
GUAUGUUGACUUCAGUAGGUUCAGGUUCGCUGUUUGGAGUAGGAUAUACCUAGAUGAAAUUUAUCGACCUUGGUAGAAAAGGAGAAGUCCUAUGUGAUUUGCAAGAUUAAGUUCAGAAAGUUUUUGGCCAAAGCAAGUAUGAAUACUAGAAAAGAGUUUUCAUGAAAUUCACAAAUGAACUCGAGUCGAGCCAAUCUUACAUAAGACUGACGAUGGGGUUUGACAAGUUCUCCAUGACCUCCAUUA